rnacentral:misc_RNA from 1 species
AACCAUAGAAACCUGCGGAGUACCUGCGGAAGGAUCAUUACAGAGUUGCAAAACUCCCACAAACCAUCGCGAAUCUUACCCGUACGGUUGCCUCGGCGCUGGCGGUCCGGAAGGCCCUCGGGCCCCCGGACCCUCGGGUCUCCCGCUCGCGGGAGGCUGCCCGCCGGAGUGCCGAAACCAAACUCUUGAUAUUUUAUGUCUCUCUGAGUAAACUUUUAAAUAAGUCAAAACUUUUAGCAA